rnacentral:misc_RNA from 1 species
UGGUUCCGACAUCGAUGAAGAACGCAGCGAAACGCGAUAGGUAAUGUGAAUUGCAGAAUUCCGUGAAUCAUCGAAUCUUUGAACGCACAUUGCGCCCUCUGGUAUUCCGGGGGGCAUGCCUGUCCGAGCGUCAUUGCAACCCUCAAGCACGGCUUGUGUGUUGGGCAGCGUCCUGAUAAGGGACGAGCCCGAAAGGCAAUGGCAGUGUCGUGCUUCGGUGCCUGAGUGUAUGGGAUUUUCUCAAAAAACUCGAAUGGUCCAGCCGGCAGUAGCUUAUAAUUCAAUCAUUCUUAGUGAUUGACCUCGGAUCAGGUAGGGAUACCCGCUGA